rnacentral:rRNA from 1 species
AACGCGAAGAACCUUACCUGGGCUCGAACGGCUUCGGACAAUCCUUGGAAACAGGGACUUCCCGCAAGGGACUGGAGUCGAGGUGCUGCAUGGCUGUCGUCAGCUCGUGUCGUGAGAUGUUGGGUUAAGUCCCGCAACGAGCGCAACCCUUGUCCUGUGUUGCCAUGAUCGCAAGAUCGGAACUCGCAGGAGACCGCCAGCGAUAAGCUGGAGGAAGGUGGGAUGACGUCAAGUCCUCAUGGCCUUUAUGUCCAGGGCUACACACGUGCUACAAUGGCCGGUACAAAGCGUCCCGAAGCCGCGAGGUGGAGGCAAUCGCAAAAAACCGGUCUCAGUUCGGAUUGCAGGCUGCAACUCGCCUGCAUGAAGCUGGAAUCGCUAGUAAUGGCAGAUCAGCACGCUGCCGUGAAUACCGGUUCUCGGGCCUUGUACACACCGUAGAGAC